ACAGUCACACAUUAGAUACCCGCGUAGUCCUAGCCGUAAACGAUACUCGCUAGGUGUCGGCCACGGUGCGACCGUUGUCGGUGCCGUAGGGAAGCCGUGAAGCGAGCCACCUGGGAAGUACGGCCGCAAGGCUGAAACUUAAAGGAAUUGGCGGGGGAGCACCACAACGGGUGGAGCUUGCGGUUUAAUUGGAUUCAACGCCGGAAAUCUUACCGGGACCGACAGCAAUAUGAAGGCCAGGCUGAAGACUUUGCCGGAUUAGCUG
rnacentral:rRNA from 1 species